rnacentral:rRNA from 1 species
CAGCAGCCGCGGUAAUACAGAGGGUGCGAGCGUUAAUCGGAUUUACUGGGCGUAAAGCGUGCGUAGGCGGCUUUUUAAGUCGGAUGUGAAAUCCCUGAGCUUAACUUAGGAAUUGCAUUCGAUACUGGGAAGCUAGAGUAUGGGAGAGGAUGGUAGAAUUCCAGGUGUAGCGGUGAAAUGCGUAGAGAUCUGGAGGAAUACCGAUGGCGAAGGCAGCCAUCUGGCCUAUACUGACGCUGAGGUACGAAAGCAUGGGGAGCAAACAGGAUUAGAUACCCCAGUAGUCCCUGUCUCUUAUACA